CCGGCUCAGGACGAACGCUGGCGGCACGCUUAACACAUGCAAGUCGAACGAGAGAAGAGAAGCUUGCUUUUCUGAUCUAGUGGCGGACGGGUGAGUAACACGUGAGCAAUCUGCCUUUCAGAGGGGGAUACCGAUUGGAAACGAUCGUUAAUACCGCAUAACAUAAUUGAACCGCAUGAUUUGAUUAUCAAAGAUUUAUCGCUGAAAGAUGAGCUCGCGUCUGAUUAGCUAGUUGGUAAGGUAACGGCUUACCAAGGCGACGAUCAGUAGCCGGACUGAGAGGUUGAUCGGCCACAUUGGGACUGAGACACGGCCCAGACUCCUACGGGAGGCAGCAGUGGGGAAUAUUGCACAAUGGAGGAAACUCUGAUGCAGCGAUGCCGCGUGAGGGAAGAAGGUUUUAGGAUUGUAAACCUCUGUCUUCAGGGACGAAAAAUGACGGUACCUGAGGAGGAAGCUCCGGCUAACUACGUGCCAGCAGCCGCGGUAAUACGUAGGGAGCGAGCGUUGUCCGGAAUUACUGGGUGUAAAGGGAGCGUAGGCGGGAUCGCAAGUCAGAUGUGAAAACUAUGGGCUUAACCCAUAAACUGCAUUUGAAACUGUGGUUCUUGAGUGAAGUAGAGGUAAGCGGAAUUCCUAGUGUAGCGGUGAAAUGCGUAGAUAUUAGGAGGAACAUCAGUGGCGAAGGCGGCUUACUGGGCUUUAACUGACGCUGAGGCUCGAAAGCGUGGGGAGCAAACAGGAUUAGAUACCCUGGUAGUCCACGCCGUAAACGAUGAUUACUAGGUGUGGGGGGACUGACCCCUUCCGUGCCGCAGCAAACGCAAUAAGUAAUCCACCUGGGGAGUACGACCGCAAGGUUGAAACUCAAAGGAAUUGACGGGGGCCCGCACAAGCAGUGGAGUAUGUGGAUUAAUUCGAAGCAACGCGAAGAACCUUACCAGGUCUUGACAUCGUAUGCAUAGCUCAGAGAUGAGUGAAAUCUCUUCGGAGACAUAUAGACAGGUGGUGCAUGGUUGUCGUCAGCUCGUGUCGUGAGAUGUUGGGUUAAGUCCCGCAACGAGCGCAACCCUUACUGUUAGUUGCUACGCAAGAGCACUCUAGCAGGACUGCCGUUGACAAAACGGAGGAAGGUGGGGAUGACGUCAAAUCAUCAUGCCCCUUAUGACCUGGGCCUCACACGUACUACAAUGGCUGUUAACAGAGGGAUGCAAAGCCGCGAGGUGGAGCGAACCCCUAAAAGCAGUCUUAGUUCGGAUUGUAGGCUGCAACCCGCCUACAUGAAGUCGGAAUUGCUAGUAAUCGCAGAUCAGCAUGCUGCGGUGAAUACGUUCCCGGGCCUUGUACACACCGCC
rnacentral:rRNA from 1 species